UUAGAGUUUGAUCCUGGCUCAGGAUGAACGCUAGCGACAGGCUUAACACAUGCAAGUCGAGGGGCAGCGGGUAGAUGAGCUUGCUCAUUUAUGCCGGCGACCGGCGCACGGGUGAGUAACACGUAUGCAACCUGCCCGUCUCAGGGGGAUAAUCGUCGGAAACGGCGUCUAAUACCCCGUAUGAAGCUGGACGGCAUCGUCUGGUUUUGAAAGAAUAUCGGAGACGGAUGGGCAUGCGGCGCAUUAGCUGGUUGGCGGGGUAACGGCCCACCAAGGCGACGAUGCGUAGGGGUUCUGAGAGGAAGGUCCCCCACACUGGUACUGAGACACGGACCAAACUCCUACGGGAGGCAGCAGUGAGGAAUAUUGGUCAAUGGACGCAAGUCUGAACCAGCCAUGCCGCGUGCAGGAAGACGGCUCUAUGAGUUGUAAACUGCUUUUGUACGAGGGUAAACUCGGGUACGUGUACCCGACUGAAAGUAUCGUACGAAUAAGGAUCGGCUAACUCCGUGCCAGCAGCCGCGGUAAUACGGAGGAUUCAAGCGUUAUCCGGAUUUAUUGGGUUUAAAGGGUGCGUAGGCGGUCGGAUAAGUUAGAGGUGAAAUCCCGGGGCUCAACUCCGGAAUUGCCUCUGAUACUGUUCGGCUAGAGAGUAGUUGCGGUAGGCGGAAUGUAUGGUGUAGCGGUGAAAUGCUUAGAGAUCAUACAGAACACCGAUUGCGAAGGCAGCUUACCAAGCUACAUCUGACGUUGAGGCACGAAAGCGUGGGGAGCAAACAGGAUUAGAUACCCUGGUAGUCCACGCAGUAAACGAUGAUAACUCGUUGUCGGCGAUACAAUGUCGGUGACUAAGCGAAAGCGAUAAGUUAUCCACCUGGGGAGUACGUUCGCAAGAAUGAAACUCAAAGGAAUUGACGGGGGCCCGCACAAGCGGAGGAACAUGUGGUUUAAUUCGAUGAUACGCGAGGAACCUUACCCGGGCUUGAAAGUUACUGACGCUUCUGGAAACAGGAGUUCCCUUCGGGGCAGGAAACUAGGUGCUGCAUGGUUGUCGUCAGCUCGUGCCGUGAGGUGUCGGGUUAAGUCCCAUAACGAGCGCAACCCCUACCGUUAGUUGCCAUCAGGUAAAGCUGGGCACUCUGGCGGGACUGCCGGUGUAAGCCGAGAGGAAGGUGGGGAUGACGUCAAAUCAGCACGGCCCUUACGUCCGGGGCUACACACGUGUUACAAUGGCAGGUACAGAGGGCAGCUACCUCGUGAGAGGAUGCGAAUCUCGAAAGCCUGUCUCAGUUCGGAUUGGAGGCUGAAACCCGCCUCCAUGAAGUUGGAUUCGCUAGUAAUCGCGCAUCAGCCAUGGCGCGGUGAAUACGUUCCCGGGCCUUGCACACACCGCCCGUCAAG
rnacentral:rRNA from 1 species